rnacentral:rRNA from 1 species
UGGGGAAUAUUGCACAAUGGGCGCAAGCCUGAUGCAGCCAUGCCGCGUGUGUGAAGAAGGCCUUCGGGUUGUAAAGCACUUUCAGCGAGGAGGAAGGUGGUGAGCUUAAUACGCUCAUCAAUUGACGUUACUCGCAGAAGAAGCACCGGCUAACUCCGUGCCAGCAGCCGCGGUAAUACGGAGGGUGCAAGCGUUAAUCGGAAUUACUGGGCGUAAAGCGCACGCAGGCGGUUUGUUAAGUCAGAUGUGAAAUCCCCGGGCUCAACCUGGGAACUGCAUUUGAAACUGGCAAGCUAGAGUCUCGUAGAGGGGGGUAGAAUUCCAGGUGUAGCGGUGAAAUGCGUAGAGAUCUGGAGGAAUACCGGUGGCGAAGGCGGCCCCCCUGGACGAAGACUGACGCUCAGGUGCGAAAGCGUGGGGCAGCAAACAGGAUUAGAUACCCUGGUAGUCCACGCUGUAAACGAUGUUGAUUUGGAGGUUGUGCCCUUGAGGCGUGGCUUCCGGAGCUAACGCGUUAAAUCGACCGCCU